rnacentral:lncRNA from 13 species
AUGUGGAAGUGUUGUCAUUUCAGAAGGCUUCACUGUGAUGUGAGAGGACAAGUCCUGUGGAAAAUCAGAACAUUCCAGGAAGAGAAACUGCCUACCACACAUUUUACCAAAAAGAGCACAUCUGCAUAUACACAAAGUACACAAACCUGCUGGUUCACCAAAAAUUUCAUCAGCAAAAGAGUUCAAGGCAAGUUGGUUACUUGUUCACUUGCUUUAUUUGUUGUUCCCUAAAACUAUCCAGAACUGGGACCAAGUCAUGGUUGAUAAAGGAAAAGCAGUAAUGUUGAGGAUGUGGAGGGAAAGAAAGUGCAGAUAAAAAUUUAUUUGAGACUGAUAACAAAUGGAGUUACUUUUAUUUAUGUGGCCCUUCUUCAUGCCAGUUUCUAGGGACUCUCAAGGAAUCUCUGAAAUUACUACAUAAUCCAUCACCAGAGAAUUUGGAGGAACUGGAAGCCCCUGUGUCCCAGAACCAGUGCACCAAGGAUUAAGAGCAUGUUAGGAGUCGCCAGUCACUUCAGUCUGGGAGGUUAGGAUGCUUUUAGAUCUAGGUCUGGUGUGUCUGAGAUUAGCUCUAAACACAUAUUUUUGGUGAAUCUCAGCUAUUAAUUUGUCUUCACUGCAUGUCUCAGACGUGGGGACCUAGCCUUCAUCUCAGAGUUUUGCUGAGACUCCAGAUACCUGACAAUGGCCCCUUGAACCCAGAUGUCCUGAUUUGUCUCUGUCACCUUCUGUCCUACAGAGUUAGCCUUUGCCUACCUCCCAUUCAGGUCCCUUAUUCAUAACAGACUGAAAAUGAUUAUUGUGGAUACUCAGGGGCCAACUGGAAUAUGACCACCAGCUAAAUUCCUGACAUAAUCACUGAUUGGAAUCAGAGGUAAAGUGUUUCGCCUAUGGGCUUGGGCCUAGCGCAGCCUAAGUUUUGUAUGCCCCUUCAGACACUACAUUAAAUUCCAGUGUCUCUCAGAUUGGGUCAGUCCUGCCUCCCCAGUCCUCUCCUGUCUUGCUUUCUUAUUCCUUCCCACUUGAGUUCCAAAAUGCCUCGUUACUUAUCAGGACAUCCCAAACUAGUUCUUUGCUAUUUGCAAUAAUACUGUAGGCUCUCAUCAGUUAAAAAAACAAACAAAGCCAACACAACCAAAAAAUGCU